rnacentral:RNase_P_RNA from 2 species
CCUGGAGGAGGGAUAAUCGCCUCGAAGGAUACGCGUAAUAUACGCCGUGUCUUGCGGGGAGGAAAGUCCAGGCAGCAGAAGGCAGGAGACCCGCCGUAAGACGGGACCCGAACCGCGAUUACAUCAAGGGAAGGGCUGGUUAGAGCAACAGAGACGAGUCUGAUUUUAAGUUAAAUGCUUAAAUCGGAGUGAAACGGGCAAUCCCCUCCGCUGCAACCUACGAAUUGAGCGUUCCUUGGGGUUUAACCCGAGGUGAAGGACGCCUUCCCAAGCUCAAAAGCUUAGGGCAUUAGACAGAUGAUUAUCUAGAAACAGAACCUGGCUUACUAUCCUCCAGGGUAU